rnacentral:rRNA from 1 species
GUUACAGUCGGGGGCAUUUGAUUUCAUAGUCAGAGGUGAAAUUCUUCGAUUUAUGAAAGACAAACAACUGCGAAAGCAUUUGCCAAGGAUGUUUUCAUU